ensembl:snRNA U6 U6 spliceosomal RNA
GUGCUUGCUUCGGCAGCACAUAUACUAAAAUUGGAAUGAUACAGAGAAGAUUCCCAUGGCCCCUGUGCAAGGAUGACACGCAAAUCACGAAGCAUUCCAUAUUUUU